rnacentral:rRNA from 1 species
AUGGCCCCAGCUCCAGGACAAAAAAAGAGGAUCCUGGAACCUGAUGAACCUGCCCUUGAUAGAGUCACAAGGCAGAAAGCAAAGAUGGCGACUGCGACGGACCAUCAGGAAAGUCUGCUGCGCAUGGACUCUGAGACCUCGGUGCAAAUGGGUGAUGAGUUGCCGCCCAUGGAUGAAGGAACCACUCUCAGCAUGGAUGGAAGUGGCAUUGUCUGCCUAGAUAAAGGAGGAACCAUCUGCAUUGAUGAAGCAGGCACUAUCCACACAGACAUCAGCCCUGUUGCACCUUCUAUUGACAGGAAUGCUGUCAUCAAUGAAGAAGAACAACAGCUUGUGCUUCAAUCAGAUGCAAUGACUACCAAGACUAGACUUAGAAAGGGCAAAGGGCUAGAGAGGAUCACCAAGUCGCUUGGUAGCAAGGUGCCUAUCCAAAUUGCCGAAGGGAUGAAGCGUCUAGAGAAGCCUUUGUAG